rnacentral:rRNA from 1 species
UACGUAGGGUCCGAGCGUUGUCCGGAAUUAUUGGGCGUAAAGGGCUCGUAGGCGGUUCGUCACGUCGGGAGUGAAAACUCGGAGCUUAACUCCGAGCCUGCUUCCGAUACGGGCAGGCUAGAGGUAGGCAGGGGAGAGCGGAACUCCUGGUGUAGCGGUGAAAUGCGCAGAUAUCAGGAAGAACACCAAUGGCGAAAGCAGCUCUCUGGGACGGGACUGACGCUGAGACGCGAAAGCGUGGGGAGCGAACAGG